AUUCCAGUUGAAGAACAUUCCUAGAGGGCUAGUGGGUUUCACUAUGCUGGUGUUUUGGUGAUGUCCCCUGGGCAGAUAAGCUGCUUUUCCUGUCUGCCUGAUGAGCCUAAAAACCACCCAUCCAGGGCAGUAGUCACCUCUUCACGGGCACGUCGCCGGUCUGCUCGUCCACGUAAUCCCGCUUCAGCUCCUCAGGGACGUCGCUGUCACUGUCAUAGUCCUGAUAGGCGCUCUUCUCUUGCUCAUCAGACUCAUACUGAGGAAACAUGGUGGGAUAUGCAACAUGGGGCAUACCAGGUCUCAACACACAAAGGAAAAACUUACAUGAAGCUGCAAGAUGCUAAAAUUUGACUUAACAGGGCAAAGCUCCCAUGUCUCAUUCUCUAAGAACAUUCUCAGUUCAUCAAGUCGUAUCCUGAGGAAAAGAAAAUGAACAGUCGAAAGGAAGAAAGGGGCAGGGAACGCAUAAACUCAGGAAACAAAAUUAUCAUCAUCAUAAUCACAACUCAUUCAGAUUAGCACAAUAAACUACACACGCUGGCUUCUGUUA